rnacentral:miRNA from 11 species
CCUCGUUCAAUUUGGUUGUGGUG